AGAGUUUGAUCAUGGCUCAGAUUGAACGCUGGCGGCAGGCCUAACACAUGCAAGUCGAACGGUAACAGGAAGCAGCUUGCUGCUUUGCUGACGAGUGGCGGACGGGUGAGUAAUGUCUGGGAAACUGCCUGAUGGAGGGGGAUAACUACUGGAAACGGUGGCUAAUACCGCAUAACGUCGCAAGACCAAAGAGGGGGACCUUCGGGCCUCUUGCCAUCAGAUGUGCCCAGAUGGGAUUAGCUUGUUGGUGAGGUAACGGCUCACCAAGGCGACGAUCCCUAGCUGGUCUGAGAGGAUGACCAGCCACACUGGAACUGAGACACGGUCCAGACUCCUACGGGAGGCAGCAGUGGGGAAUAUUGCACAAUGGGCGCAAGCCUGAUGCAGCCAUGCCGCGUGUAUGAAGAAGGCCUUCGGGUUGUAAAGUACUUUCAGCGGGGAGGAAGGUGUUGUGGUUAAUAACCACAGCAAUUGACGUUACCCGCAGAAGAAGCACCGGCUAACUCCGUGCCAGCAGCCGCGGUAAUACGGAGGGUGCAAGCGUUAAUCGGAAUUACUGGGCGUAAAGCGCACGCAGGCGGUCUGUCAAGUCGGAUGUGAAAUCCCCGGGCUCAACCUGGGAACUGCAUUCGAAACUGGCAGGCUUGAGUCUUGUAGAGGGGGGUAGAAUUCCAGGUGUAGCGGUGAAAUGCGUAGAGAUCUGGAGGAAUACCGGUGGCGAAGGCGGCCCCCUGGACAAAGACUGACGCUCAGGUGCGAAAGCGUGGGGAGCAAACAGGAUUAGAUACCCUGGUAGUCCACGCCGUAAACGAUGUCUACUUGGAGGUUGUGCCCUUGAGGCGUGGCUUCCGGAGCUAACGCGUUAAGUAGACCGCCUGGGGAGUACGGCCGCAAGGUUAAAACUCAAAUGAAUUGACGGGGGCCCGCACAAGCGGUGGAGCAUGUGGUUUAAUUCGAUGCAACGCGAAGAACCUUACCUGGUCUUGACAUCCACAGAACUUUCCAGAGAUGGAUUGGUGCCUUCGGGAACUGUGAGACAGGUGCUGCAUGGCUGUCGUCAGCUCGUGUUGUGAAAUGUUGGGUUAAGUCCCGCAACGAGCGCAACCCUUAUCCUUUGUUGCCAGCGAUUAGGUCGGGAACUCAAAGGAGACUGCCAGUGAUAAACUGGAGGAAGGUGGGGAUGACGUCAAGUCAUCAUGGCCCUUACGACCAGGGCUACACACGUGCUACAAUGGCGCAUACAAAGAGAAGCGACCUCGCGAGAGCAAGCGGACCUCAUAAAGUGCGUCGUAGUCCGGAUUGGAGUCUGCAACUCGACUCCAUGAAGUCGGAAUCGCUAGUAAUCGUGGAUCAGAAUGCCACGGUGAAUACGUUCCCGGGCCUUGUACACACCGCCCGUCACACCAUGGGAGUGGGUUGCAAAAGAAGUAGGUAGCUUAACCUUCGGGAGGGCGCUUACCACUUUGUGAUUCAUGACUGGGGUGAAGUCGUAACAAGGUAACCGUAGGGGAACCUGCGGUUG
rnacentral:rRNA from 6 species